rnacentral:rRNA from 1 species
ACCUACGGGCGGCAGCAGUAGGGAAUUUUGCUCGGUUGUGGAGACCCUGACGCAGCAACGCCGCGUGGAGGAUGAAGGUUUUCGGAUUGUAAACUCCUUUUGUUAGAGAAGAUAAUGACGGUAUCUAACGAAUAAGCACCGGCUAACUCCGUGCCAGCAGCCGCGGUAAUACGGAGGGUGCAAGCGUUACUCGGAAUCACUGGGCGUAAAGAGCGCGUAGGCGGGAUAGCAAGU